rnacentral:tRNA from 1 species
CCCUUCUUAGCUCAGUCGGUAGAACAUCAGACUUUUAAUCUGAGGGUCCAGGGUUCGAGUCCCACAGAAGGCG